AUGGCGGGGGAGGCCAAGGAGCCGGAGGCGGCCGCCCAGGGCGAGGGGUCCAAGGCCAAGGCCAAGAAGCCCAAGGCUGCGGCGGCCGCGGCCGCCCAGGACGGGGAGGGGGCCAAGGCCAAGGCCAAGAAGCCCAAGGCGGCUGCUGCGGCUGAGGAGGGGGAGGGGGCCAAGGCCAAGGCCAAGAAGCCUAAGGCGGCUGCGGCCGCCGAGGAGGGGGAGGGGUCCAAGGCCAAGAAGCCUAAGGCGGCUGCGGCCGCCGAGGAGGGGGAGGGGGCCAAGGCCAAGAAGCCUAAGGCGGCGGGCGCGCCGGUGGCGGCGAUGGCGGAGGCGGAGGUGGAGGAGCUGCCCAAGGCCAUCGUGCGGCGGCUGGUCAAGGACAAGCUCGCCCGGGCCGCGUCCGGCGGCGAGGGGGCAGAGGGAGGGGCCGAGGUCAUCGUCAACAAGGACGCCAUGGCCGCCUUCGCCGAGGGCGCCCGCAUCUUCAUCCACUACCUCUCCGCCACGGCGAAUGAUGUGUGCAAGGACGGAAAGAGGCAGACGAUCAACGCCGAGGACGUCUUCAAGGCGCUUGAUGAGAUCGAGUUCCCCGAGUUUGUGGAGCCCCUGAGGACUGCACUGGAAGAGUUCAGAAGCAGAAACGCAGCCCGGAAGCCAGCAUCAGGCAAGAAGCAAUCUGAAAAGAAGAGGAAAUUGGAUAAAGAGGCAGUGCCCGAAGAGCAAAACGGUGCAGCCGAUGAAGCCAACGCGGACAAGGAUGAGUUUUUCUGA
rnacentral:rRNA from 1 species